AUCUCAACUCCUUGCACUACAUUCACUAGAGUGCAAGGAAGAAAAAGAACAAAAACAGGAGGGUGAACUUUAGGGUGUUACAAGCACUCUUCCAAGAAUUUAGAGAUUUGAAAUGCAUGGAUGAAUUUUUUACUCCUAUUGAAUAAACAUACAAAUUCACUCAUAAUACUACUCCCUACGCCUUAUUUUAUGUGCCCCAAUUGACUUAAAAAAAACUCACCCAUUAAAUAAUUAAUUAAUUAUUACUUGUCAUUACUCCGUAUAAUCAUAAUAAUGAACAUACAUUAACAUAGACUCCAUGCUAUUAUAAGUUCAAUAAACUAACUCACAAUAACGCCCAUUAUCUAAUAAUCCUAACUAUUGGGUAUGUUUGCCAAGAGUAGUCCCAAUUGACUGCGAACCGGUUAAACAAGUUAAUUUUUUUUUUCUUUUUUUUAAUUAAUGAUGAUGUAGCAUUGUUGACGUGGACAAAAACUUAGGUUGACUUGUCUUAUUUCCUUUCUCUCCCAAAAUUUUUGCCACGUCACCCUCUUUCUCACCCAUUCAACUACUCUCUGCAAAAUAAUUAAGCCCGCCAUAAUUGCUUCCUCUCUUCCAUUAUAUCAUCUCAACCAUAAUUUACUUUCCAAAAUUGGUAAAAUUUCUCAACAAUUGGGUUUCCAUUUGUGGGAAAAAAGGAGCGACGGUGACCCAACUAGUUGAAGAUGCAUUGAAGCACAGACGAAGCAAAAUUGUGGUGACCAGGUAAGGGGUAAAUCUAGAAGAGAGCUAGUAGGGGCAGCAACCACAAUGAGGAGCAUCAGCAAAGCAUUGAACUAACAAAACUUGAAUUACAUCAUUGGUGGUCAAUCAAGUCAGCAAUCAACCCUCCACAACCCAACUCAGUAGUACUUCAACACUUUGUGCAUGCAUAAAAUAAUUAUGUCCUUAAGUUGUCUAUGAAUUGUCUAUGAAUCUAGUAUGCAACUGUACUUCAUCAUGAAAACUUCUAUAGUGUAGCACCAGCUUGUUAAUUUGCUCGA